UCCUACGGGAGGCAGCAGUGGGGAAUUUUCCGCAAUGGGCGAAAGCCUGACGGAGCAAUACCGCGUGAGGGAUGACGGCCUAUGGGUUGUAAACCUCUUUUUUCAGGGAGGAAUCAAUGACGUGUACCUGAAGAAUAAGCAUCGGCUAACUCCGUGCCAGCAGCCGCGGUAAGACGGAAGAUGCAAGUGUUAUCCGGAAUCACUGGGCGUAAAGCGUCUGUAGGUGGUUUAAUAAGUCAACUGUUAAAUCUUGAGGCUCAACCUCAAAAUCGCAGUCGAAACUAUUAGACUAGAGUAUAGUAGGGGUAAAGGGAAUUUCCAGUGGAGCGGUGAAAUGCGUAGAUAUUGGAAGGAACACCGAUGGCGAAGGCACUUUACUGGGCUAUUACUAACACUCAGAGACGAAAGCUAGGGUAGCAAAUGGGAUUAGAUACCCCAGUAGUCCUAGCUGUAAACAAUGGAUACUAGAUGUUGAACAGAUCGACCUGUGCAGUAUCAAAGCUAACGCGUUAAGUAUCCCGCCUGGGAAGUAUGCUCGCAAGAGUGAAACUCAAAUGAAUUGACGGA
rnacentral:rRNA from 1 species